UAAGACAGAGGUGCCGAGCGUUAGGCGGAAUCACUGGGCUUAAAGCGUGUGUAGGCGGACCGUUAAGUACCUUGUGAAAUCCCACGGCUCAACCGUGGAACGGCUGGGUAUACUGGCGGUCUUGGGCCACCUAGGGGCAGAUGGAACAAGUGGUGGAGCGGUGAAAUGCGUAGAUAUCACUUGGAACGCCAAAGGUGAAAACAGUCUGCUGGGGGUGUGCCGACGCUGAGACACGAAAGCCAGGGGAGCGAACGGGAUUAGAUACCCCGGUAGUCCUGGCCCUAAACGAUGUCGACUGGAUCGCAGUGGCUCUGACGCCAUUGCGGUCGAAGCAAAAGUGCUAAGUCGACCGCCUGGGAAGUACGGUCGCAAGGCUA
rnacentral:rRNA from 1 species